UGACAACCCUAACAAGCCAUCCCUAUU
rnacentral:sRNA from 1 species